rnacentral:rRNA from 1 species
GAUGAACGCUGGCGGCGUGCCUAAUACAUGCCAGUCGAGCGAACGGACGAGAAGCUUGCUUCUCUGAUGUUAGCGGCGGACGGGUGAGUAACACGUGGAUAACCUACCUAUAAGACUGGGAUAACUUCGGGAAACCGUAGCUAAUACCGGAUAAUAUUUUGAACCGCAUGGUUCAAAAGUGAAAGACGGUCUUGCUGUCACUUAUAGAUGGAUCCGCGCUGCAUUAGCUAGUUGGUAAGGUAACGGCUUACCAAGGCAACGAUGCAUAGCCGACCUGAGAGGGUGAUCGGCCACACUGGAACUGAGACACGGUCCAGACUCCUACGGGAGGCAGCAGUAGGGAAUCUUCCGCAAUGGGCGAAAGCCUGACGGAGCAACGCCGCGUGAGUGAUGAAGGUCUUCGGAUCGUAAAACUCUGUUAUUAGGGAAGAACAUAUGUGUAAGUAACUGUGCACAUCUUGACGGUACCUAAUCAGAAAGCCACGGCUAACUACG